rnacentral:rRNA from 1 species
UUACCGCGGCUGCUGGCAAGAAGUUAGCCGGACCUUCUUAUUCGGGUACAGUCAUUUUACUUCCCCGACGAAAGAGCUUUACAACCCAAAGGCCUUCUUCACUCACGGGGCAUCGAUGCAUCAGAGUUUCCUCCAGUGUGCAAGAUUCCCCACUGCUACCUCCCGUAGGAGUUUGGGCCGUGUAUCAGUCCCAAUGUGGCUGAUCAUCCUCUCGAAUCAGCUGUUGAUCAUAGUCUUGGUAGGCCAUUACCCUACCAACAAACUAAUCAAGUGCGGGCUCAUCCAAUGGUGCAUAAAGCUUUCUCCGUAAAGACUUAUCCGGUAUUAGCACAAGUUUGGUGAGGUUAUUCCAGGCCAAAGGGUAGAUACCCACGAUGUUACUCACCGGUGAGGCGGCUAAGUAUGGGGAGCUUCGUUCGACUUGCAUGUG